UUGUCAAAGAUUCCUUUUUUGGAGCACAAAUUAUUUAAAUGACUCAUACAGCUGAGAUUUACUAAGGUUUCCAGCAGGCAUUUUACUGCAAAUUGCAUCAUUAUUUCAAACCGAAAAAAGCGUGUCUUAUUUUGAUAAGUUGAGAAAGUUGCUGCCAGGAGCAUAAUUCAUUUGAAUUGCUGUGCAGCGGGUGAAGUUGGCAUAACCAACACAUUAUUGGCGUGGUGUUGCCCCGAGUCUCCUGCCAAAGCUUGGGCUCUGUCCCGAAGUCAUGACUGAGUUCUUAGCCUAAAACGUUUAGAGCGAGCCCUGCAUAUUUCUGCACUGUUUUAAUGUAACACAGUGCGAUUUAACAUGGAGUGUUGGAGGGAGGGAUACAAUAGUUAGUCAAGACAAGACUCAUGCAAGCCACAGAGUCAGGGAGAGAGCAAUAUCGCACGCCCACAUAACAAAACACACGAGGCCUACUGGGACCUCAGCAAUCUGAAUUUCACAACAGUCCAGGCAGAUAUUUUAAUGAUAACCACAGAUGGGUGUGUCCGCUGAGCUCCUAUAAAACAAAAAGCAAAAAAACAAUCAGUGCAUUGUAACUGGAUAUAAAUUCUGGUUGCUUUUGUUUAUAUAGUUCCAUUUCCCAACAACUGAAACCUUGUGGCAGUUUACACUGAAAGAAAAGAUGCUCUGUAAUAUCGCAGACCAAAACCCAACAGUGGGAAGACAAAAGCUCCCUCUUUACAGGAAGAGUCAAUCAGUGCUUCUGCAGUCAGGAGUGAGCUCUAAUCAGGUGAUUGACUGGACUACUUAACUUGCAGCUGCGUUGAUGAUGGCCUCUAAUGAGCCACAGGGGCAGCCAGUCAGACCUGAGAGCGCCAACAUACGUAUGCAAAUAAAUCUUUGACAUUUGCGCAUCUCUGCUCGGUGUGCCGGGAAUGUGGAUCAGUUUACCACAGCAUCUAUUUGCAGUACUGUGACUCAACAAUGCAUCCCACUUUAAUCUAAGAUGGCCCACUGGCAAGCAGGAGUGAAAGCUGACACCGUACAGCAGAGGACCCUCCGGCUAUGUAAAGAGGGGAGAAGGGUUUGGAAGAAGAAAAAGCAGGCUUUCAGGAGGAGCUGAAGUAGAACGAUCAGGCUCCACAACAAAACCAGGGAGUCUGCCAAACACAAAAGAAGUCUGGGCGAAGAGCUGCUCCAUUUUCUGUGCUGCCGUGGUCGCAUUUUGUGGAUAGAAAUUUCCACUUGUGGCUCAAUUCCAGAGUUGCACAUGACCAGUGUGUUCAUCUACAUUUCCUCUAAGAAUGACACAGGGUUAACUCAACGAUUGCUCAAUAGAAACCUAUUCUUAAAAUAUCAGCUCUAGGGUACAAUCUCUGUGCCUUUUGCAGAAAAUGUAACAAAAAAAAAGCAUCAUGUAUGGGUGCAUGACGGCACUUUUUUACCACUUUAACUCAUCAGUGUAAAACAAAAGCAUCUCAGUGGGGAGAUAGUAAA